rnacentral:rRNA from 1 species
UACGUAGGGUGCGAGCGUUAAUCGGAAUUACUGGGCGUAAAGGGUGCGCAGGCGGUUCUGCAAGUCAGGCGUGAAAGCCCCGGGCUUAACCUGGGAAUGGCGCUUGAAACUACAGGACUGGAGUAUGGCAGAGGGAGGUGGAAUUCCACGUGUAGCGGUGAAAUGCGUAGAGAUGUGGAGGAACACCGAUGGCGAAGGCAGCCUCCUGGGCCAAUACUGACGCUGAGGUGCGAAAGCGUGGGGAGCAAACAGG